GAUACCGUGCGAUUCUCCCAUCCGCUGGCAAAUCGCGACAACAGACGCCGCUCCACUCCCCGCGGCAGACUCCACGUGGCACACCCCGGUGAUAGCCACGGGUCCACUCCACUACUCUUCGCAGCAAACUCCACCUGACCCUGGGCAGCCCACUGCCAGACGGUUACAGAUGUCGCUAUCAGGCUACUGCUCCCUCCGCCUAUAAAAGGGGGGCUCC
rnacentral:lncRNA from 1 species